ensembl:lncRNA
AGAGACCAGAGCCAAGACCACGGACCAGACCAGACCAGUAGAGACCAGAGCCACCAGGACCAGACGCUAGACCAGACCAGACCAGACCAGUAGAGACCAGAGCCAACCCAGGACCACGCUAGAGACCAGACCAGACCAGUAGAGACCAGACCAGACCACGCUAGACUAGACCAGACCAGUAGAGACCAGAGCCACCAGACCAGUAGAGACCAGACCAGUAGAGAACAGAGCCACCGGGACCACGCUAGACCAGACCAGACCAGUAGAGACCAGACCAGUAGAGACCAGACCAGAGACAGUAGAGACCAGACCAGACCAGAGCCACCAGGAGAGCUAGACCAGACCAGACCAGACCAGUAGACCAGACCACCACCCGGGACCACGCUAGACCAGACCAGACCAGUAGAGACCAGCCACAGGCAGACCAGACCA